CCCUUAGAUGUUCCGGGCCGCACGCGCGCUACACUGAUGCAUUCAACGAGUCUAAAACCUGCUCUGAUAGGGGUGGGUAAUCUUUUGAAUGUGCAUCGUGAUUGGGAUAGAUGAUUGCAAUUUUUCAUCUUCAACGAGGAAUGCCUAGUAAACGCAAGUCAUCAGCUUGCAUUGAUUACGUCCCUGCCCUUUGUACACACCGCCCGUCGCUCCUACCGAUUGAAUGAUCCGAUGAAUAUCAUGGAUUGAGGAUGCAAGUAGGUUCGCCUAUCUUCAUCUUCGAGAAGUGAAGUAAAUCUUAUCAUUUAGAGGAAGGAGAAGUCGUAACA
rnacentral:rRNA from 1 species